rnacentral:lncRNA from 1 species
GUAGAAGAGAACAACAAAGAGGCUUUGGCUUAAGCAAGGUAGAAGGUUACUCACUGGAGUUGUCAUCCAUUUCUGAGGAGAUGAUGUCAUCACAGGUGGGGCCAUGAUUCAAUGCUGGUAGACCAGAAAGACGGACAGAACCUGGACCUUUAUGAUUGAGAGACUGUCAGUUCAGCCCUGGACUUUCUAAGCGGAGCCUUGUUUUAUGUGAGAAAAUAGGUGCAUAGAUGACUACAGCCAGGGAAAUGAUAGCAAAAACACAGGAUGCAAAACAAAAUGAAACGAAACAAAACAAAACAAGACAAGACAAAAAAGUCAGGCUCCCUGGGUCACUUAAAGGGGAUGCUCUGGGCUGAACAAAGGAUAAAGUUCAGGCUGUCUGGCUCACAUCACAAGGGAUUUACCUUUGAGCCUUCUCUCUGGCCCUCAACUCUUAGAUCCAUUUGAACUAGAGGGAAAUCCAGACUUCCCAAGGACAUCUCUGCUAACCUUAAUUGAAGACAAAGUCUUAUGGCUGAAAGACAAGAAAAACUUCUCAUUUGCUGUCGGCCAGUUCUGGCUUUGGUUCCUGUGACAAAUCUACAAAAUGUCUUCUCUUCUUCUGUUUCUGAGGCCAUGACGUCAUUAGGGCCAAAGAUGCAAUUAGUGGAACACAAGUGGAGCUUAUGGUUACCUUCACUAAGUAUUUCUCAAGAAUGAUGCCAUGGAAUGAACAAGGUUCCUGUGUAGUUUGUGUGUGGAAACCCUAACUGUUACCACUUGAAUGCGAUGAAUUUGAAUAUAGAGCUUUCAAAGGUAAAUUUGAACUCUAGGAGUGGCUCAGGGUAUGAAUGUACAGAGCCAAGACCAUGGGAAGACACAAAGAGAGGGUGACUAAGUGGAAGAAGUCCUUGGGAGAGUCCAGUCUGUAGCACACUG